UACGUAGGGUGCAGGCGUUAAUCGGAAUUACUGGGCGUAAAGCGUGCGUAGGCGGUUUGUUAAGUCUGUUGUGAAAUCCCCGGGCUCAACCUGGGAAUGGCAAUGGAUACUGGCAAGCUAGAGUGUGAUAGAGGAUGGUGGAAUUCCCGGUGUAGCGGUGAAAUGCGUAGAGAUCGGGAGGAACAUCAGUGGCGAAGGCGGCCAUCUGGAUCAACACUGACGCUGAGGCACGAAAGCGUGGGGGAGCAAACAGG
rnacentral:rRNA from 1 species